GAUGAACGCUGGCGGCGUGCUUAACACAUGCAAGUCGAGCGGACAGGCCCUGCUUGCAGGGUACUCGAGUGGCGAACGGGCGGGUAACACGUGGGUGAUCUGCCCUGCACUUCGGGAUAAGCCAGGGAAACUGGGUCUAAUACCGGCUAGGAGCCAUUUUGAGUGUGAUGGUUGGAAAGUUUUUUCGGUGUUGGGUGAGUUCGCGGGCUAACAGCUUGUUGGUGGGGUAAUGGCCUACCAAGGCGGCGACGGGUAGCCGGCCUGUGUGGCUGGACGGCGACCCUGGCACCUAGAGACGGCCCAGACUCCGACGCGUCGCCUCAGUGCGGAAGAUUGACCAAGGGGCGCCAGCUUGAUGCAGCGACGCCGCGGGUCGUAUGACGGCCUUAUUGUUGAAAACUCCUUUCGCAAGUGACGAAGCUUUUUGUGACGGUACCUAGACAGGAAGCACCGGCUAACUACGUG
rnacentral:rRNA from 1 species